CUGACUGUUUCGGCGUAUCGGCGUUUCCUACCUUAUUUCCAACAAGUUCCCAACUACAUAAGCGCAGAUAUACAUCAUCGGCGUAAUCCGAGUAAUGGGUGAUUUAUAUUUCUCAUAGGAAUUCGGGAUAGACAUAAGUUCAUCAAUAUUCUAUAUGCGCUAAACUAGAGUGCCAAAAGCGAUGAUCCUCAUGACUGUCAGAGAUGAAUUGUUUGUAAUAAUUUAUUUCAACUUGGUACGAAUAUGCCAUACAAUUUUCACCAAGAAUAUUGAUCUAGCAAUUAUGACACAAUUAAUUUGCGGUAUUUUUAGGAAGAAUGAUCUUCUCGAUCAUCAU
rnacentral:misc_RNA from 1 species